rnacentral:lncRNA from 1 species
UAGUAAUGCGCGUGGAGAGGGUGCUGACAUGAGAGGAGCAACUACAGCUCUUAGGCUAGGGUUUCAUCAUUUUUUUUAAAGUUAAGGUUGUGGGCUAAAUGGGCUUUAGGGUUUUUUAUUAUUGGGUCGUUUAGGCUCGUUUUAUAAUUGGAUAUUAGUAAUUGGAUUUUUGUUUUUUUUUUGUUUUAUAUUUUGUAUGUUUUGGGUUUGUUGGGCCUGGGCAAAUUUGGGCUUUUACAGCUGCCCCUCUUUGCUCGUUGUCGUGUAACGAGAAUAGAGCAAAGACUUUAAGAAAGAUCAAAUUUUCCCGGUCUCGCCGAAUCUCAACUUCUUUGGUGCUUCUCUUAUUGAAGUAGCCUCGUUCUAAC